ensembl:lncRNA
GGCAGAUAGGAGGAGAUAUAGGGGAGAUAUAGGGGAUGUAGGGGGCAGAUAGGAGGAGAUAUAGGGGAGAUAUAGGGGAUGUAGGGGCAGAUAGGAGGAGAUAUAGGGGAGAUAUAGUGUAUGUAGGGGCAGAUAGGUGGAGAUAUAGGGAAUAUAGGGGGAUAUAUGGGGAGAUAUAGGGGAUGUAGGGGAUAUUUAGGGAGAUAUAGGGGAUAUAUGGGAGAUAUAGGGGCAGAUAGGAGGAGAUAUAGGGGAUGUAGGGGCAGAAAGGAGGAGAUAUAGGGGAGAUAUAGGGGAUAUGGGGAGAUAUAGGGGAUGUAGGGGCAGAAAGGAGGAGAUAUAGGGGAGAUAUAGGGGAUAUGGGGGGAUAUAGGGGAGAUAUAGGGGAGAUAUAGGGGAUGUAGGGGCAGAUAGGAGGAGAUAUAGGGGAUAUAUAGGGGAUGUAGGGGCAGAUAGGAGGAGAUAUAGGGGAUGUAGGGUGGAAUAUAGGGGAGAUAUGGGGGAGA